UACGAAGGGGGCUAGCGUUGCUCGGAAUCACUGGGCGUAAAGCGCACGUAGGCGGAUUGUUAAGUCGGGGGUGAAAUCCUGGAGCUCAACUCCAGAACUGCCUUUGAUACUGGCGAUCUCGAGUCCGGGAGAGGUGAGUGGAACUGCGAGUGUAGAGGUGAAAUUCGUAGAUAUUCGGAGGAACACCAGUGGCGAAGGCGGCUCACUGGUCCGGUACUGACGCUGAGGUGCGAAAGCGUGGGGAGCAAACAGG
rnacentral:rRNA from 1 species